rnacentral:misc_RNA from 1 species
CCCAACUAUCCCUAUUAAUCAUUACGUCAAUCCUAGAAACCAACAAAAUAGGAUCAAACGUCCUAUUUCAUUAUUCCAUGCUAAUGUAUUCAAGCGUGUGCCUGCUUUAAACACUCUAAUUUUUUCAAAGUAACAGUCCUGAUUCCCCAUGACACCAAAUUAAUGACAUCAUAGUUUGUCAGAAAGGAGAAACCAAUAAUACCAGUACAUACCGAAGGCACGACCGAUAUAUUGAUCCCGAAAUUCAACUACGAGCUUUUUAACUGCAACAACUUUAAUAUACGCUAUUGGAGCUGGAAUUACCGCGGCUGCUGGCACCAGACUUGCCCUCCAA